rnacentral:rRNA from 1 species
CCCUUAGAUGUUCUGGGCCGCACGCGCGCUACACUGUUUGAUUCAGCGAGUCUUAACCUUGACCGAAAGGUUUGGGUAAUCUUCUAAAGUCAAACGUGAUGGGGAUCGAUCAUUGCAAUUAUUGAUCGUGAACGAGGAAUUCCUAGUAAAUGCAAGUCAUCAGCUUGCGUUGAUUACGUCCCUGCCCUUUGUACACACCGCCCGUCGCUACUACCGAUUGAAUGGUUUAGUGAGAUCUCCGGAUUGGCUCUGUGGGUCCCGCAAGGGAUUUAUUAGUAGCCAAGAAGCUGCUCAAACUUGAUCAUUUAGAGGAAGUAAAAGUCGUAACA